AUUGAACGCUGGCGGCAGGCCUAACACAUGCAAGUCGAAUGGUAACAGGAAACAGCUUGCUGUUUCGCUGACGAGUGGCGGACGGGUGAGUAAUGUCUGGGAAACUGCCUGAUGGAGGGGGAUAACUACUGGAAACGGUAGCUAAUACCGCAUAACGUCGCAAGACCAAAGAGGGGGACCUUCGGGCCUCUUGCCAUCAGAUGUGCCCAGAUGGGAUUAGCUAGUAGGUGGGGUAACGGCUCACCUAGGCGACGAUCCCUAGCUGGUCUGAGAGGAUGACCCAGCCAACCGGGAGUGAAAACACGUGCAGGCCCCCAGCGGGAGGCGGCGGGGGGAAAUAUAGAAAAAGGGGGGCAAGCUUGAUGAAUCCGUGCGGCGGGAAGGAAGAAGGCUUUCGGGUUGUAAAGUACUUUCGGCGGGGAGAAAGGAAGAAAAGUAAACACCUUCGCUAUUUGACUUUCCCCGAAGAAGAAGCCCCGCCUAACUCCGUG
rnacentral:rRNA from 1 species